ACUCUGAACCAGCCAUGCCGCGUGCAGGAAGACAGCCCUCUGGGUCGUAAACUGCUUUUAUUCGGGAAUAAACCACAUUACGUGUAAUGAGCUGAAUGUACCGAAGGAAUAAGGAUCGGCUAACUCCGUGCCAGCAGCCGCGGUAAUACGGAGGAUCCAAGCGUUAUCCGGAUUUAUUGGGUUUAAAGGGUGCGUAGGCGGCUUAUUAAGUCAGGGGUGAAAGACGGUGGCUCAACCAUCGCAGUGCCCUUGAUACUGAUGAGCUUGAAUACACUAGAGGUAGGCGGAAUGUGACAAGUAGCGGUGAAAUGCAUAGAUAUGUCACAGAACACCGAUUGCGAAGGCAGCUUACUAUGGUGUGAUUGACGCUGAGGCACGAAAGCGUGGGGAUCAAACAGGAUUAGAUACCCUGGUAGUCCACGCCCUAAACGAUGAAUACUCGCUGUUAGCGAUACACAGUUAGCGGCUAAGCGAAAGCGUUAAGUAUUCCACCUGGGGAGUACGCCCGCAAGGGUGAAACUCAAGGAAUUGACGG
rnacentral:rRNA from 1 species